rnacentral:rRNA from 1 species
GACGAACGCUGGCGGCGUGCUUAACACAUGCAAGUCGAACGAUGAUGCCCAGCUUGCUGGGUGGAUUAGUGGCGAACGGGUGAGUAACACGUGAGUAACCUGCCCCUGACUCUGGGAUAAGCGUUGGAAACGACGUCUAAUACUGGAUAUGAUCACUGGCCGCAUGGUCUGGUGGUGGAAAGAUUUUUUGGUUGGGGAUGGACUCGCGGCCUAUCAGCUUGUUGGUGAGGUAAUGGCUCACCAAGGCGACGACGGGUAGCCGGCCUGAGAGGGUGACCGGCCACACUGGGACUGAGACACGGCCCAGACUCCUACGGGAGGCAGCAGUGGGGAAUAUUGCACAAUGGGCGAAAGCCUGAUGCAGCAACGCCGCGUGAGGGAUGACGGCCUUCGGGUUGUAAACCUCUUUUAGUAGGGAAGAAGCGAAAGUGACGGUACCUGCAGAAAAAGCACCGGCUAACUACGUGCCAGCAGCCGCGGUAAUCCGUAGGGUGCAAGCGUUGUCCGGAAUUAUUGGGCGUAAAGAGCUCGUAGGCGGUUUGUCGCGUCUGCUGUGAAAUCCCGAGGCUCAACCUCGGGCUUGCAGUGGGUACGGGCAGACUAGAGUGCGGUAGGGGAGAUUGGAAUUCCUGGUGUAGCGGUGGAAUGCGCAGAUAUCAGGAGGAACACCGAUGGCGAAGGCAGAUCUCUGGGCCGUAACUGACGCUGAGGAGCGAAAGCAUGGGGAGCGAACAGGAUUAGAUACCCUGGUAGUCC